UACGGAGGAUGCAAGCGUUAUCCGGAAUGAUUGGGCGUAAAGCGUCCGCAGGUGGCUAUGUAAGUCUGCUGUUAAAGAGCAAAGCUUAACUUUGUAAAAGCAGUGGAAACUACAUAGCUAGAGUGCGUUCGGGGCAGAGGGAAUUCCUGGUGUAGCGGUGAAAUGCGUAGAGAUCAGGAAGAACACCGGUGGCGAAGGCGCUCUGCUAGGCCGUAACUGACACUGAGGGACGAAAGCUAGGGGAGCGAAUGGG
rnacentral:rRNA from 1 species